rnacentral:rRNA from 1 species
UACGAAGGGGGCUAGCGUUGCUCGGAAUUACUGGGCGUAAAGGGCGCGUAGGCGGACAGUUUCGUCAGAGGUAAAAGCCCAGGGCUCAACCUUGGAACUGCCUUUGAUACUGACUGUCUUGAGUUCGGGAGAGGUGAGUGGAAUGCCGAGUGUAGAGGUGAAAUUCGUAGAUAUUCGGCGGAACACCAGUGGCGAAGGCGACUCACUGGCCCGAUACUGACGCUGAGGCGCGAAAGCGUGGGGAGCAAACAGG